GUGGGGAAUAUUGGACAAUGGGCGCAAGCCUGAUCCAGCCAUGCCGCGUGAGUGAUGAAGGCCUUAGGGUUGUAAAGCUCUUUCAGUGGGGACGAUAAUGACGGUACCCACAGAAGAAGCCCCGGCUAACUUCGUGCCAGCAGCCACGGUAAUACGAAGGGGGCUAGCGUUGUUCGGAUUUACUGGGCGUAAAGCGCACGUAGGCGGAUCGUUAAGUCGGGGGUGAAAUCCUGGAGCUCAACUCCAGAACUGCCUUCGAUACUGGCGAUCUUGAGUCCGGAAGAGGUGAGUGGAACUCCUAGUGUAGAGGUGGAAUUCGUAGAUAUUAGGAAGAACACCAGUGGCGAAGGCGGCUCACUGGUCCGGUACUGACGCUGAGGUGCGAAAGCGUGGGGAGCAAACAGGAUUAGAAACCCGUGUAGUCC
rnacentral:rRNA from 1 species